GCGCGCAUUUCCACGCGGGAGGGGCUGUGGGGCUGUAGCUCCGGCGUUCCCGGGUCCUAACCUCGCGAUUGCGGCCCCCUGGGGUGCUGCCGCGCGGGAAGACCAUGGGCGACGCUGUGGGAGAGCGCGCUCGCCUCCGGUGCUACCCCAAGCUCCCAGUGUGGGUCGUGGAGGAUCACCAGGAGGUCCUGCCUUACAUAUACCGGGCCAUUGGCUCAAAGCAUCUUCCUGCCAGUAACAUAAGUUUUGUGCAUUUUGAUUCACAUCCAGACCUCCUUAUUCCUGUAAAUAUGCCAGCUGACACUGUGUUUGACAAGGAAACACUUUUCGGAGAAUUAAGUAUUGAGAAUUGGAUUAUGCCUGCAGUUUAUGCUGGCCAUUUUUCUCAUGUGCUAUGGCUUCAUCCCACAUGGGCUCAGCAAAUAAGAGAGGGCAAACAUCACUUUUUAGUAGGCAGAGACACUUCUACCACAACAAUCAGGGUUACGAGUACAGAUCAUUACUUUCUAAGUGAUGGUCUUUAUGUAACUGAAGACCAACUAGAGAACCAAAAACUUUUACAAUUGGAUGUAAUUAUGGUAAAACCUUAUAAACCCUGUAACAAUCAAGAAGAAAAUGAUGCAGUGUCUUCUGCUAAGAAGCCAAAGCUAGCACUGGAAGAUGCAGAAAACACUGCUUCUACUAACUGUGACUCUUACUCAGAAGGACUGGAAAAGGACACAUUGACACAGAGGAGGGGCCAGAUUUGCCUAGAGCAAUCAUGUUCAUGUUCUUCUGAAAGUCAAGAAUGUCAGACUACAGUCAGCACUGGGGAAAUUCUGGAAAUUUUGAAGAAAGGGGAUGCAUUUGUGUUAGAUAUUGACUUGGAUUUUUUUUCAGUCAAGAAUCCCUUCAAAGAAAUGUUCACUCAGGAAGAGUACAAAAUCUUACAAGAAUUGUACCAGUUUAAAAAACCUGGUACCAACCUGACAGAGGAAGAUUUGGUAGAUUGUGUUGAUACUCGAAUUCAUCAGUUAGAAGAUUUAGAAGCUGCUUUUGCUGAUUUAUGUGAUGGUGAUGAUGAAGAAACUGUACAGAAAUGGGCUUCAAACCCUGGAAUGGAAUCACUAAUUCCACUUGUACAGAGUUUGAAAAAACGGAUGGAAGUACCAGACUAUGAAAUGGUUCACCAGGCUGGUCUAACCUGUGAUUACUCCGAACUUCCUCACCAUAUCAGCACAGAACAAGAAAUUGAAUAUCUUAUUCACUCUGUAUAUUAUUUACUGAAAAAUUUACCAAAACCUACUCUUGUGACAAUUGCAAGAACUGCUCGAGAUACCUGAGGAUCCUUACUGGACUGUGCCUGGUCUUCCUGGUCACAGCAUUCUCGUGCUUGUUUCCAAACUGACUGGUCCUGCACUGUCUCUGUGGUUUCGUAGUUCCAGCUACACUCCUGGGAUCCCAAACAUCCGUGCCAUCCCGUCCCUUUAUUGUCAUUUGGGUUCAACAAAUGAAGUUACGGUGACUGAGGAGGUUUCUAUGAACCUGGAUUCUUAGGAAGGAGUUCCCUAAAUGAGAGAGAUCACAAGUAGGCAGAGAGGCAGGCAGAGAGAGAAAGAGGAAGAAGCAGGCUCCCUGCUGAGCAGAGAGCCCGAUGCGGGACUCGAUUCCGGGACCCCGAGAUCAUGACCCGAGCCGAAGACAAUGGCUUAACUCACUGAGCCACUCAGGAGUUACUUACAGUACUCCUCCAAAGCAUCCUUUGUCUGGGUCUCCGCCUUACCACAAAGCUGCCUGUGCCUGGUGAGCAUUAAGGAAAAUGCGGUCAUCAGAGAAAGAGCGAGUGCCUCUGUCAGCUUGGCCUAGUAAGGUCACAUAGCAGCCCAUCAGACUUGACCCUGAUGGCUCAUGGAGGGAGACCCAUCGUUGUCUCCCUUAAGUCAGGCUUGGAGCUCGGUGCGAAAGCCAGCCGUGCAGACAGAAAGCACCCUGAACACCGCAUGGCACCAUCUACAGCACGGCCCCAUCGAGAGCAGUUCCGGGCAUCAAGAGACACUGUCCUCACAGGGUGACCCAGAGGUCCUGGUGGCUUUGAAAUCAAUCCAAGUUCAAGAGGGAGGCGGCACCUUCCAGUAGAGUCCUGACCCUGCUGUGCUCUUUUCCUCCCUCCUCACCAGAGCAAGAGUGAAAGCAGGGAACUCUCGAAUGCCUUCAGCUAAAAGCGUGUGUACGUUCUGCUUUGUCCUUCAUGCUAUGGUCUGUGAGAACAGUACCUGCGGGAGAGCUCACCACCGUGCAGGGGUGCCUGGCGACGGCAGAGUCUGGAGUGCGGCAUCAGGAAGCCAGUUGUCGCCACAGACUUCAGCCGUGUUCUUUAGUACCUGUUCUAUGAGUACUGAUGAUGGCUUUUUUAUCUUCAUCUGCCUAUUUCUGAGUCAUUUAGAAGCUUACUGGAGAAUGGUUAGGUCUAUUGGGCUUCCGCAAACCCCAACAUGACAAUGCUUGUUUGUUAAAAAAUAUGAAAAGUUUAUAAAUGCAGUAGCUCUUUGGAAUUCCAGCCAAAAAGGACAUUCUCUGACCAUUCUGAAUAAAGCCACAAUAACAUCA